rnacentral:rRNA from 1 species
UGGGAAUUUUGGACAAUGGACGCAAGUCUGAUCCAGCCAUGCCGCGUGCGGGAAGAAGGCCUUCGGGUUGUAAACCGCUUUUGUCAGGGAAGAAACGAGUUUCUCUAAUACAGAGACUUAAUGACGGUACCUGAAGAAUAAGCACCGGCUAACUACGUGCCAGCAGCCGCGGUAAUACGUAGGGUGCAAGCGUUAAUCGGAAUUACUGGGCGUAAAGCGUGCGCAGGCGGUUAUGCAAGCCAGAGGUGAAAUCCCCGGGCUCAACCUGGGAACUGCCUUUGUGACUGCAUAGCUAGAGUACGGUAGAGGGGGAUGGAAUUCCGCGUGUAGCAGUGAAAUGCGUAGAUAUGCGGAGGAACACCGAUGGCGAAGGCAAUCCCCUGGACCUGUACUGACGCUCAUGCACGAAAGCGUGGGGAGCAAACA